rnacentral:rRNA from 1 species
AUUGAACGCUGGCGGCAGGCUUAACACAUGCAAGUCGAGCGGAUGAAGCGUGCUUGCUUCUGGUUCCCGCGGCGGACGGGUGUGUAUUACCUAUGAAUCUCCCUGCCUGUGCUGGAUAACGUCCUGAAACGGGCGCUACUACUGCCUACGUCCUGCGGCUGCAAGUUGGGGAUCUUCGGAACUCACGCUCUCAGAUGAGCUUAGGUCGGAGUAGCUAGCUGGUUGGGUAAGUGCCUACCAAGGCGACGAUCCGUAGCUGGACUGAGAGGAUGAUAGGUCACAUGGGAAGGGAGACACGGUCAAGACUACUAAGGGAGGCAGCAGAGUGGAAUAUUGGACAGUAGGCGAAAGCCUGAUCCAGCCAGGCCGCGUGUGUGAAGAAGGUGUUCGGAGUGUAAAGAACUUUAAGGUGGGAGGAAGGGCAGUAAGUUAAUACCUUGCUGUUUUGACGUUACCAACUGAAUAAGCACCGGCUAACUACGUG